AGGGCGCACGGUGGAUGCCUUGGCACUAGAAGCCGAUGAAGGACGUUACUAACGACGAUAUGCUUUGGGGAGCUGUAAGUAAGCUUUGAUCCAGAGAUUUCCGAAUGGGGAAACCCAGCAUGAGUUAUGUCAUGUUAUCGAUAUGUGAAUACAUAGCAUAUCAGAAGGCACACCCGGAGAACUGAAACAUCUUAGUACCCGGAGGAAGAGAAAGAAAAUUCGAUUCCCUUAGUAGCGGCGAGCGAAACGGGAAGAGCCCAAACCAACAAGCUUGCUUGUUGGGGUUGUAGGACACUCUAUACGGAGUUACAAAGGACGACAUUAGACGAAUCAUCUGGAAAGAUGAAUCAAAGAAGGUAAUAAUCCUGUAGUCGAAAAUGUUGUCUCUCUUGAGUGGAUCCUGAGUACGACGGAGCACGUGAAAUUCCGUCGGAAUCUGGGAGGACCAUCUCCUAAGGCUAAAUACUCUCUAGUGACCGAUAGUGAACCAGUACCGUGAGGGAAAGGUGAAAAGCACCCCGGAAGGGGAGUGAAAUAGAACCUGAAACCGUGUGCUUACAAGUAGUCAGAGCCCGUUAAUGGGUGAUGGCGUGCCUUUUGUAGAAUGAACCGGCGAGUUACGAUUUGAUGCAAGGUUAAGCAGUAAAUGUGGAGCCGUAGCGAAAGCGAGUCUGAAUAGGGCGUUUAGUAUUUGGUCGUAGACCCGAAACCAGGUGAUCUACCCUUGGUCAGGUUGAAGUUCAGGUAACACUGAAUGGAGGACCGAACCGACUUACGUUGAAAAGUGAGCGGAUGAACUGAGGGUAGCGGAGAAAUUCCAAUCGAACCUGGAGAUAGCUGGUUCUCUCCGAAAUAGCUUUAGGGCUAGCCUCAAGUGAUGAUUAUUGGAGGUAGAGCACUGUUUGGACGAGGGGCCCCUCUCGGGUUACCGAAUUCAGACAAACUCCGAAUGCCAAUUAAUUUAACUUGGGAGUCAGAACAUGGGUGAUAAGGUCCGUGUUCGAAAGGGAAACAGCCCAGACCACCAGCUAAGGUCCCAAAAUAUAUGUUAAGUGGAAAAGGAUGUGGCGUUGCCCAGACAACUAGGAUGUUGGCUUAGAAGCAGCCAUCAUUUAAAGAGUGCGUAAUAGCUCACUAGUCGAGUGACACUGCGCCGAAAAUGUACCGGGGCUAAACAUAUUACCGAAGCUGUGGAUUGUCCUUUGGACAAUGGUAGGAGAGCGUUCUAAGGGCGUUGAAGCAUGAUCGUAAGGACAUGUGGAGCGCUUAGAAGUGAGAAUGCCGGUGUGAGUAGCGAAAGACGGGUGAGAAUCCCGUCCACCGAUUGACUAAGGUUUCCAGAGGAAGGCUCGUCCGCUCUGGGUUAGUCGGGUCCUAAGCUGAGGCCGACAGGCGUAGGCGAUGGAUAACAGGUUGAUAUUCCUGUACCACCUAUAAUCGUUUUAAUCGAUGGGGGGACGCAGUAGGAUAGGCGAAGCGUGCGAUUGGAUUGCACGUCUAAGCAGUAAGGCUGAGUAUUAGGCAAAUCCGGUACUCGUUAAGGCUGAGCUGUGAUGGGGAGAAGACAUUGUGUCUUCGAGUCGUUGAUUUCACACUGCCGAGAAAAGCCUCUAGAUAGAAAAUAGGUGCCCGUACCGCAAACCGACACAGGUAGUCAAGAUGAGAAUUCUAAGGUGAGCGAGCGAACUCUCGUUAAGGAACUCGGCAAAAUGACCCCGUAACUUCGGGAGAAGGGGUGCUCUUUAGGGUUAACGCCCAGAAGAGCCGCAGUGAAUAGGCCCAAGCGACUGUUUAUCAAAAACACAGGUCUCUGCUAAACCGUAAGGUGAUGUAUAGGGGCUGACGCCUGCCCGGUGCUGGAAGGUUAAGAGGAGUGGUUAGCUUCUGCGAAGCUACGAAUCGAAGCCCCAGUAAACGGCGGCCGUAACUAUAACGGUCCUAAGGUAGCGAAAUUCCUUGUCGGGUAAGUUCCGACCCGCACGAAAGGCGUAACGAUUUGGGCACUGUCUCAACGAGAGACUCGGUGAAAUCAUAGUACCUGUGAAGAUGCAGGUUACCCGCGACAGGACGGAAAGACCCCGUGGAGCUUUACUGUAGCCUGAUAUUGAAAUUCGGCACAGCUUGUACAGGAUAGGUAGGAGCCUUUGAAACGUGAGCGCUAGCUUACGUGGAGGCGCUGGUGGGAUACUACCCUAGCUGUGUUGGCUUUCUAACCCGCACCACUUAUCGUGGUGGGAGACAGUGUCAGGCGGGCAGUUUGACUGGGGCGGUCGCCUCCUAAAAGGUAACGGAGGCGCUCAAAGGUUCCCUCAGAAUGGUUGGAAAUCAUUCAUAGAGUGUAAAGGCAUAAGGGAGCUUGA
rnacentral:rRNA from 1 species